rnacentral:lncRNA from 1 species
UUCUAAUUUCGAGGUUUUUUUUUUCAAAUCUUAAGAAAAGCAAAAAAAAGAGCCACAGGGAGAAAGCCAAAGUUGGGAAGAAAUAUCAGAUCGGAGGAAGAGAGAAAUUAGAGCUGCGACCACCUCGGGUCCUUCUUCCGCCGCGUGCAGAGCCGCGCGACCACCUCGGGUCCUUCUUCCUCCGCGUGCAGAGCCGCGAGACCACCUCGGGUCCUUCUUCCUCCGCGCGCUGAGACGAGCGAAGAGUCGAUUGACCCAGCUUCUUCUUUUGCUGCGCGCAGAGACGCGCGAAGAGCUGAUCAACCCAGCUUCUUCUUCGGCCACGAGCAGAGCCGCGCAAAGAGCUGUGCGAUCCAAUUUCUCUUCUGCCGCGCACAGAGCCUCUAGCAGCGCCAUGUCACGCACAGAUCGGAUUUUUCCCUGCCAUGAUCUGUUUCACUUUACAGAUCGGGUCUGUUUGUGCUGCCAGCCUUCUUCUUCCGCCAUAGAUCCACACAAACAGGAAGCUUUUAUGGCUGCGAUCUCUACUUCGCACAAAUCUGCCUGAGCUGACUAAGCCGCGCAGAGUCUAGUCCGAGCCGACUUAAGCUGUUGUCCGAGCUGAAUCAUUUUUUGAGCUGAGUUUUAGCCAUUUUAAAAAAACUUACUAUUCUCUGUAAAUAGAUUUAUUAAUCUAUUGGUGAUGUACUAUUAUUUGAUUAUAUGAGAAUAUUUUUUCGUCCGUCAAAUUCAUGGAUGUUGUUAUAUUAUCGAAUUGUGUUAAAACCUUAUGUUCUUUUCUUUUACUUUGUUAAGCUUGUGCAUACUUUUGAAAUUUAUUUCCCCAACAAAUAAUAUCUAAACCUAAAUUAGAGAGAGAAAACUUAGGUUAGUAAGAGAAAGUAAAAAAAAAGAUUAGAAUUUUUGGCAGAACGCAGUUUGGAGAAGGCAAACCACACAGUGAUAACGGCUCAC